UGGAAACAGAGGUCUUCCAGAAGCCAUUUCAAAGAAAAUGCAACCAACACCCCUUUAAAAUAUACCAUGAAAGGAAAAAAAAAAGGUUUUCCAACGAAAAUACAACUUAAAAAACAACUGAAAAUCAUACUCUGCUAUGGAUCAGGAAAUAACGGACAUGGAAAAAGCAAUACAAAUGAAGAUGAGUUUCUUCCGAUACGUCAUUGUUUCAAGAGAACACUUUGCUUAUUGGCAGCUCCAAACUCCUGUUCAGAUGGCUCUCUUAGAGGAUAAAAAAAAAAAAAAAAAAAAUUUUUUUUUUUUUUUGAUAAGACGAUGGGAAAAAAAACCUUUACUAUAAUUCAAUAUAACUUGUAAUGGUGUCAAGAGUUACGGGAGAUUUCUUUAUUUCUUUGGAUCUGGCAACAUAAUCACUGUACUGCCGUUGUAAAGAUGUACUAACAUGCUGGCAAUGCCAUUUUAAUUGAGCUUCAAAACAAAUGAAGUAUGUGUACAAGUUCUAUAGGUCUCAUUCUAAAAGUGUGCGUGUGUAUAAGACAGACCAGGGGGAAGAGGGAGGUUUUCUGAAACACCAUUUCCAUCCCAUGAGAUUUACCAAGUUAUUACUCAUAGAAAUGUGUUCUUUCUCUUCAAUUACGCAGGGGCAGGAAAGAUAUUGAAAACCUUUAUUCUUAGUUUUUUUUUUUUUUAUAUAUCUUAUAAAAAUUGCUGUUAGCAUCAUCAUAUCUGUACAUAAUAAGCCAAAGAUAAAUUACUAAGUUGUGGUUGGAUUUGGAACCUUACUUCCACACUCCAUAAUGCAUUUAUCAUUUUUCAGAGACAUGAGGACUUAAUAUCCUCUUCGCUUACCUACUCCUAGAAAUAAGAAAGGAAUACAUAUGAUCUAUACUGGACAAAUCUAAUGCAAAAGACCUCUUUAAAGUGUUAAAAAGCGAAGAUAUCGCUUUGAGGGCUAAGGUGCGCCUGACCGAAGCCACGGUAUUUUCAAUUUUCUCAUAUGAAUGUGAAAGCCAGACAAUGAAUAAGAAAAACCAAAGAAGAAAUGAUGCCUUUGAAUCACGGCGUUGGCAAAAAAUAUUAGAAUAUACCAUGGACUGCCAGAAGAAUGAACAAAUCUGUCUUGAAAGAAGUAUAGUCAGAAUGUUCCUUAGAAAGGGGCAUGGCGAGACUUCAUCUUCCGUACUUUGGACAUGUUAUCAGGAAGGACCAGUCCUUGGAGAAGGAAAUCAUGCUUGGUAAAGUAGAAGGUCAGUGAAAAAGAGUAAGACCCUCAGCAAGAUGGACUGACACAGUAGCUGCAACAAUGGGCUCAAACAUAACGAUUGUGAGGAUGGCACAGGACUGAGCGGUGUUUUGUUCUGUUGUAUAUAGGGCCCUUAUGAGUCAGAACUGGCUCAACGGCAACUAAUAAUGACAUAUCGGUAGAGCCAUGAACGAGGACUCUAAACACUCACUAAACAGGAAGGAGCAAACAGGAAGGAGCAGACUCUUAAAAUGUAUAUGACCUAUAAUUAUGAGACAAAUUUUCAUAUAUAGGCUUUUAUUCUUCUAUAGUUGCACUUUUCCUCAUAAAACUUCCACUAGAUAUGCCAUGAUUUUAGAUGCAACAAAGCUCUGAUGAAUCCUGACUACACCUGACUAUGGGCUUUCUCAUUAGUUUAAUAUUUAACUCCCAGAACCUAGACAGUAAAAAAAAAUUUCACGUUGAGUUAGAAUAUUACAUUUCCUAACAACCAUAAAUGAAUAUUAUAUAGUAUUUCAGCAAGCUAAUAACCAAUAUUUUAACAUGAGACAUGACUAAAUGUGGUAUCCUGGAUGGGACCCUGGGAGAGAAAAAGAAUAAAGUAUGGAGUUUAGAUAAUAGUAAUGUACCAGUGCUGGUUCCUUAGUUAUAACAAUUGUACAAGAAAAGCAAUGUAAAAUGUUAACUGGAUAUGUGGUAUAUACAGGAACUUUGUAUACUAUCUUAGGAAUUUUUCUAUAAGUCUAAAACUAUUAUAAAUAAAAAAGAUGUUUAAAUAAAAAGUGGGAAGAAUUCAGUUGAGAGGGACAGACUAAAUAUACACAAAUCUAUAGGAAUAACAAAUAUUCUAAGCAUCCUCAGAAUAUGUGAUAGGAGAAACUCCUCAAUAUUAAAAGAAGGAAAGAACAGAAUGGAUAUAGAUGUGGGUAAAUUUAUAUGUCUGUUAUUGAGAAAAUGAGGCAGUUUCUGGCUAAUGGCUUCUCUGCUCUUUAUCUUUUAAGAGGAGGGAUCAUCAGCUUGCAGUGAGAAGAGAAACACUAACCAGAGAAAGACACUGGGGUAGCCGGUCAAUACUGAAGGUUCAUUUGAAGUUGAUGAUCAUGAAUUUAUAGUGGAACCAAUUAGCCCUAUUAUGUGACUUUUUCCAGCAAAGAUGAAUUCUGUGACUUGUUUCUUAAUUCCUACUCAAUCAAAUGUUUUGUGUUAUUUGAACUCUUAUACGUAUUACACAAGCUGACCUAAACAGCAAAGAUGUCACUAUGAUGACCUAAGGUGUACACGUGACCCAGGCCAUGGUCUUUUCAACUGCCUUAUAUGCAUGUGAAAGCUGGACAGUGGAAAUGGAAGAUAGAAGAAUUGAUGCAUUUGAAUUGUAUUUAACAUACUGCAGACCACCAGAAAAACAAAUAAACCAAUCUUAGAAGAAAUGCAACCAGAAUGUUCCCUGGAAGGAAGGAUGGUAAGACUUUAGCUCACUAAUUUUAGCCACAUCAUCAGGAAAGAACAAUUGCUAGAAAAGGACAUCAUGGUUGGAAAAGUACAGGGUUGGUGAAGGUGGCAGAGGCCCUCAGUGAAAUGACUGACACAGUAGCCUUAACAAUGGACUCAUACAUAGCAACAAUAGUGAAGAUGGCACAGAACUGGGCAACAUUUUGUUCUGUUAUACAUAAAGUCGCUAUGAUGGUAACUAACAAUAACACAACAACUUGUUACAUAUUGCUAUUGGAAAAUAUGAAAAUAAAAGUUUUAUACUUUCAGAAAAACAAAGCUAAAAAUUUAUAUUUGAUCUGCUUGAAAUAUUAUUUUAUUUUUUAGAUAAAGAGUAUAUUAUCUAUGGAAUGCAUGAACUCUGAUACACAUAAAGAACAUUUUCUUUAUCCUACCUGUUUCAUAUCCAUCCUCUAACCUUCACUCUCUCCCUUCACAUAUAAACCUAGGAUUCAGAUACCCAUACUAAAGAGCUGACCACAUUGAAAAAAAUUAUUUUAUUUUUUGUGUAUAUAAUGAAUAUAUUGUGUAUGUAAACAUGAACUCUAAUACAUGUGGCAAAAACCUUUUUGCCCAUCCCCUUUCUAUCCAUCCCCUAACCUUGAACAA